GACGAACGCUGGCGGCGUGCUUAACACAUGCAAGUCGAACGAUGAAGCCGGAGCUUGCUCUGGUGAAUUAGUGGCGAACGGGUGAGUAACACGUGAGUAACCUGCCCUUGACUCUGGGAUAACUGCGGGAAACUGUAGCUAAUACCGGAUACGACCAUCGGAGGCAUCUCCUGGGGGUGGAAAGAAUUUCGGUCAAGGAUGGACUCGCGGCCUAUCAGCCAGUUGGUGAGGUAAAGGCUCACCAAGGCGACGACGGGUAGCCGGCCUGAGAGGGUGACCGGCCACACUGGGACUGAGACACGGCCCAGACUCCUACGGGAGGCAGCAGUGGGGAAUAUUGCACAAUGGGCGCAAGCCUGAUGCAGCAACGCCGCGUGAGGGAUGACGGCCUUCGGGUUGUAAACCUCUUUUAGCAGGGAAGAAGCGAAAGUGACGGUACCUGCAGAAAAAGCACCGGCUAACUACGUGCCAGCAGCCGCCGUAA
rnacentral:rRNA from 1 species